GACGAACGCUGGCGGCGUGCUUAACACAUGCAAGUCGAACGGAAAGACCCUGCUUUUGUGGGGUGCUCGAGUGGCGAACGGGUGAGUAACACGUGAGUAACCUGCCCUGGACUUUGGGAUAACUUCAGGAAACUGGGGCUAAUACCGGAUAGGAGCUCCUGCUGCAUGGUGGGGGUUGGAAAGUUUCGGCGGUUGGGGAUGGAUUCGCGGCUUAUCAGCUUGUUGGUGGGGUAGUGGCUUACCAAGGCUUUGACGGGUAGCCGGCCUGAGAGGGUGACCGGCCACAUUGGGACUGAGAUACGGCCCAGACUCCUACGGGAGGCAGCAGUGGGGAAUAUUGCACAAUGGGCGGAAGCCUGAUGCAGCAACGCCGCGUGCGGGAUGACGGCCUUCGGGUUGUAAACCGCUUUCGCCUGUGACGACGCGUGAGUGACGGUAAUGGGUAAAGAAGCCCCGGCUAACUACGUG
rnacentral:rRNA from 1 species